rnacentral:rRNA from 1 species
GAUGAACGCUGGCGGCGUGCUUAACACAUGCAAGUCGAACGAGAAAUGUAGACGGACACCUUCGGGCGGAAGCCUUCAUUUCGAGUGGCGGACGGGUGAGUAACGCGUGGGUAACCUGCCUCAUACAGGGGGAUAACAGUUGGAAACGACUGUUAAUACCGCAUAAGACCACAGCAUCGCAUGAUGCGGGGGUAAAAACUCCGGUGGUAUGAGAUGGACCCGCGUUCGAUUAGCCAGUUGGCGGGGUAACGGCCCACCAAAGCGACGAUCGAUAGCCGAUCUGAGAGGAUGACCGGCCACAGUGGGACUGAGACACGGCCCAAACUCCUACGGGAGGCAGCAGUGGGGAAUAUUGCACAAUGGGGGAAACCCUGAUGCAGCGACGCCGCGUGAGUGAAGAAGUACUUCGGUAUGUAAAGCUCUAUCAGCAGGGAAGAAAAUGACGGUACCUGAGUAAGAAGCCCCGGCUAACUACGUG